UAUAAUGGGUUAGUAAUAACGUGAUUCAAAUUCGUCAUUGGCGAGAAUCGAACCUAAGACCUCUCACUUACAAGUGAAGAGGAAUACCACUGGACUAUAGAACUAAAUGACCAUUAAUACACGAUUUUAGAAAAAAACUAACUUAUCAAAACACAUAUAUAUGGUUGCACGUGAGAUAUAGCCAAUGAAUAGCAAUAAUUUUAUAGAUAGGCAAUUUCAACACUCUAUACAAAAAUGAUCGUCAAACUACAUUUCGCAAUCAGGAAACAAAAGAUAAUCAAGAGCCCAUUGUAGAUCAAAGUUUUAAAUAACGCAUUGUGUGAGGUGUAGCAAGGUGGAAGGAUUUUGCUCCAAGGCAUUAAAUGUUUUGCAGUUGUCCCAUUUAGCCAACACUAUUUGGAUAUAGCAUGCGCUACACUAUUUGCGCAAUAAUGACGACUCUAGCCUAUCUGGGAUGUUCCUAUUCAAAAAUUAGAUAGAAAGAAACUCCGUCUUCUUUUUAAAUAAUUUUCUCGGCAACCAAACAGAAUUAAACAAAACUGAAAUUCACUUCCGAGAAAGAGGGAUUCGUACCCCGCCUAGUGUAAUAUACAAACAGAGAACACAACAAAAUUUUUUCUUCUUUCUAAAUUAUUUUUCACGGGAACCAAACAAAAUUAAACGAAACCGAAAUUCACUUCCAAGAAAGAGGAAUCCGUACGCCGCCUAGUGUAAUACACAAACAAAGAAUAAAACCAAUAGUGUAAUAUACAAACAGAGAACACAACAACAAAAUUUUCUUUUCUUUCGAAAUUAUUUUUCUGGGCAACCAAAUAGAAUUAAACGAAACCGAAAUUCACUUCUAAGAAAGAGGAAUCCGUAUUCCGUACGCCGCCUAGUAGAGAAUACAACAAAAAUUUUCCUUCAUUCUAAAUUAUUUUCUCAGCAACCAAACAAAAUCCAACGAAACUAAAAUUCACUUCAAGGAAAGAUGAAUUCGUACUAGUUUGAGAUGGUUGUGAACCAUGGGAGAGAUCUGACGGAAAUUCACCUGAAAUCUUGUCUCAAUUGAGGGUGGAUGCACAAGAAACUUCGAAAAAACAUGCGGAGGAGAGGGUCUUUGCAAAAGGCGAAAAUGAAUUCGUUUCCUCUUUUGUAUGCACUGUGGGGGUUGAACGACAUGAUGUUUCCUCUAUAACGUGCGGCAAAUGGCGGUUCCAUCUUCGUUCUGUGCAACUGCCGCAACUACUCCUCUAUGUGGGUGUGUGGAAAGUUUCGAAUUAUCUAGAGUGUUUUUUUUUUCUUUUAUAUUUUUAGAUAAGCCUUUGAAACUUUAUUUUGUCUUAUUUUAUUCAUGUAACUCAAAAGUUAUUAUUUUAUUUUUUAAAAUUCAAAAUCCGUUUUAUUUUUAGCUGGAUUGGAAUUGCUUAAAUUUUUUAAAAUGAGUUCUUUAGAAAAGUUGAGCCAUAAAUUUUGUUUGGUAAAUAGAAUAAAAAGGAUUUUUUUUUCUUUGAAAAAUGAUGUAUCAAAAAGAGCAGAAAGCAAAACAAGGUCUACCCGUGCUUUCUAAAAGCGCGUUUUUUUUUUCAUAGAGGUGCAUAAAAAUUAUCAAUUAAUGAACUAUUUAUGCUGACAAUACAACCCCUUUUUCUCCUAUGCGUUGUUCACUUUUCAACUCUCCAUAUUUCUCUCACACUCUCCUCUCCCUCUCAUCUGGUUCGAGCAGAGUCCCUUUUCUCCUCUUCCUCUCCUUUGGUUCAAGCAACAAAAGAUUUUUCUUUGCAGGAGCACCGGGGAAGUCAACCAUCAUACGAAUUGGGAUAUUAGGGGUUUAGGGCCAAAGAAAACGAGGGAAAAUAGAGGGUUUUUGGAGAAAAUGAUGUGAGGAAAAGGGGGAGAGAACCUAUCAAUUUAUAGUUCAUCGUGCAAAGAUCUCAGUACAUUGGCUGAAACGUUCAAUUUGCCAUUUUCAGAUCUCUUUGUGCAACAAGAUGUCGUUGUGCAAGAUAGUAACCGGAAAAUCUUUGUGCCUUCCCAACCUUUUUCCUUUGGCUUUGCGCGAUGAAAGUAUGUCUACGUCAUGCAAAGGUAUCUUGCGUGAUGUGAUUCUUUGUUGCACAAGUUUUUUUACUUUUUUUCUUUAAGAUGUUUUUGCUCGACUGUUCACUGAAUUCGUUACGCUAGUGUCAAUUUCGCGACGAGGUUUAAUUUGUUGUGCAA